GAUAAUCUAAUUGGUGGCUUGAGUUCUCCAACCUGUAAAACCCAAAAUGGGCGUGGGUUUCUUCUCUUUUGAUUCUCUUUCUUCUUUAGUUUUUUUAAAUUCUCUCUUUAGAUGCAGGCCAAUUUGGGUUUCUUGUUCUUUUUUUUUUUUUGCUGAUUUGAUUUUGGAUGCUUGCUAUUUGGUAUUUUUAUUAUUGGUUGAGAUUUAAUGGGUCUAAAAUGUUUAGGGGUCUUGUCAAUGGAGUGACGGUGAGUGAUGUUGGUGUGGUGAUUAAAUGAUAGUGAGCUUGUGGAGGUGACCAACGUUGAGGGUGGUGGUGAGAGAGCUGUGAAGGAUGAAGAAAAAUGGUGAAAAAGCCCCCCUUUUCUCUUUCCAUUUUUUGUUGUUCAUGGUGGUGAGUGAGAGGGAUGAUAGGAAAAUGUCCAGCGUGGCAAGUUAAUUG
rnacentral:lncRNA from 1 species